AUUGGACGCUGGCGGCAGGCUUAACACAUGCAAGUCGAGCGGGGUGAUGUAGCUUGCUACAUUACCUAGCGGCGGACGGGUGAGUAAUGCUUAGGAAUCUGCCUAUUAGUGGGGGACAACAUUCCGAAAGGAAUGCUAAUACCGCAUACGCCCUACGGGGGAAAGCAGGGGAUCUUCGGACCUUGCGCUAAUAGAUGAGCCUAAGUCAGAUUAGCUAGUUGGUGGGGUAAAGGCCUACCAAGGCGACGAUCUGUAGCGGGUCUGAGAGGAUGAUCCGCCACACGGGGACUGGAACACGGCCCAGACUCCUACGGGAGGCAGCAGGGGGGAAUAUUGGACAAUGGGCGAAAUCCUGAUCCAGCCAUGCCGCGUGUGUGAAGAAGGCCUUUUGGUUGUAAAGCACUUUAAGCGAGGAGGAGGCUACCGAGAUUAAUACUCUUGGAUAGUGGACGUUACUCGCAGAAUAAGCACCGGCUAACUCUGUGCCAGCCGCCGCCGUAAGAC
rnacentral:rRNA from 1 species